rnacentral:rRNA from 1 species
CCAUGAACAAUGGAUGGACCUGCGGUGCAUUAGCUAGUUGGUGAGGUAACGGCCCACCAAGGCGACGAUGCAUAGCCGGCCUGAGAGGGCGGACGGCCACAUUGGGACUGAGACACGGCCCAAACUCCUACGGGAGGCAGCAUG